GUCUCCCUGGCCUGUUUGCCAGUCAUAAAAGACCCGGGCCGAUAAUACCAAAUCAGGGGAUUCCUCGUUGGUGCUGGAGUGCAUGUUCACCUUGUAGUGAAAAGCCCGAUUCACCUCAGCAAUCUCCACCGUUGCUUACCGGCAACGGGCUUAAGUGGCAGCGGCAGCUUGGGGAGACU
rnacentral:other from 1 species